AUACGUAGGGUGCGAGCGUUGUCCGGAAUUACUGGGCGUAAAGAGCUCGUAGGUGGUUUGUCGCGUCGUCUGUGAAAUUCCGGGGCUUAACUCCGGGCGUGCAGGCGAUACGGGCAUAACUUGAGUACUGUAGGGGAGACUGGAAUUCCUGGUGUAGCGGUGAAAUGCGCAGAUAUCAGGAGGAACACCGGUGGCGAAGGGGGGUCUCUGGGAAGUAACUGACGCUGAGGAGCGAAAGCAUGGGUAGCGAACAGGAUUAGAGACCCUGGUAGUCCAUGCCGUAAACGGUGGGCGCUAGGUGUAGGGGUCUUCCACGACUUCUGUGCCGUAGCUAACGCAUUAAGCGCCCCGCCUGGGGAGUACGGCCGCAAGGCUAAAACUCAAAGGAAUUGACGGGG
rnacentral:rRNA from 1 species